GUGCUCAUUUCAGCAGCACAUAUGCUAAAAUUGGAACAAUACAGAGUUUAACACAGGCCCUGUGCAAAGAUGACAUGCAAAUUCUUGAAGCAGUCCAUAUUUAA